rnacentral:lncRNA from 1 species
CGAAAUUUUCUUUUCCUGUUACUAACUAUGCAGCUGGGAAAAAUCAUCUUUUUCACACUCCCGAGGUAACCCUGGAGGACCACAACAUCAAUUCCAACCUCAGAGAUAACCUUGAGGAUAUUCAGAGUCAACAACAUGACAACCUCAGAGAUAACCCUGAGAAAAGACAGCUACAACUGCGCGAACACCGGAGAUAACCCCAGGAGGGGCAAAAUGAUCAUUUUGCUAACUCAACUUCACUUCAAAUCAAAUACACUCAUUUCAACUCAAAUUGCUUCAAAAGAAGUCCCACAAGAACCAUAUCUUAACUUUGGAGCGGAAACUACGCAAAACAGCUCACCGGAUUGCUUGACGGAAACCCGAAAAUACUAUUUCGGUCAUGGACCCAUCUUCCCGAAAUCAAAAAAGGGCAAAUACUAUGUCAUUGCGUAGCUCUCGAAAAGAGCUUUCUGGAAUGGUAUGACAUGCUUCCAUCGGACUCCCGGAUUGAAAGUUAUGAAGGUCCGAGCGAACAACGCGUUGUCCGAGUGUACGUACUUCGACACGGCGAAACCCACAUUGCCCUGGGCAUCCCGGGCAGCCGCAGGUAGACCUGCGGCACCCCCCUCUAUAUAUAGAGGGCUUGGGGUGGCCUUAUUUGCAAGAAAAAUAGCGAGG